UACGUAGGGUGCAAGCGUUAAUCGGAAUUACUGGGCGUAAGCGUGCGCAGGCGGUGAUGUAAGACAGAUGUGAAAUCCCCGGGCUCAACCUGGGAACUGCAUUUGUGACUGCAUCGCUGGAGUGCGGCAGAGGGGAUGGAAUUCCGCGUGUAGCAGUGAAAUGCGUAGAUAUGCGGAGGAACACCGAUGGCGAAGGCAAUCCCCUGGGCCUGCACUGACGCUCAUGCACGAAAGCGUGGGAGCAACAGG
rnacentral:rRNA from 1 species